GGUGGUUCUCCAGGCAAGGGGUUGAUAGCAAGGGACACAGAGAGUGCUCAGAAUGUUAAAGUUAGCAAUGAGCCAAGCAGGAGAAACAGGAAACUUAUGGGAUGAUAGAAUCCAUCAAAGGCCCUGAAUACAGAAAGGCCACCUUGAGCUGAGGAAGUCUCUCUGUUGCAAGCUCAGGGAAUACUUGAGUUUGAAGAGCCAGCUGCAAAGAGAAGUGGAGGGAGUACUUUGAAGAACAGGAUCUCUUAUGGCAGCUUUCUUGCAUGGUACUAUUUGCUGCUGCAGAAAUGAGGCUUAAUCUGCAGUAUGGCUAAUCUUUAAUGGAUUUAAUGCUGCCUGUGAGGAGCUGGGAAUUCUGUGUAAAAAGAAGAAAAUGAUGUUGCUGUUGUUACUUCCCUCAAGAAUGACGUGUCCAUGGGAUAGCAUUUAAUUAUUCCAAAGAAGGAUACACAGCGCGAGGAUGUUAAAAUCAGACUGAGAAUGGUUGUUCCUGUUGUCACUUGGAUGCCCUGGAUAUCCAGUCAGAUCAGAUUCUGGAUGAACUGGAACCACUGAGCCUCACUGUUUUGCCUUCUCCAUCAGACCACACUACAACUGACCUUACAGAGAAAAGGCACCUUUUGCUGCAGCCCAUUGCAGGUUGUGUGCAGACAUUUCUCCACUUUGUAGCUCCAUGAAUGACCUCAGAGGAGGAAGAAGGAAACAGCUUCCAGCAUUACACAGUGUUGGGCCAGCUACACUCAGCAUCUUCUAUGAUCAGACCCUGAUGUGUGAGGAAACGUGAAAUGUGUAAGAGUUGUUCUUUGUUAGAAGCACAGUAUCAUCUGCUUUCACACUAUGAGGAAGAAUGUAAAAACCCAGACAUGUGAGAACCUCAAAAAACUCUUGGGAAGGUGGAAAAAACAUUUUAUAACUUUCUAACUGUGGACUAAAAUAUAUUCCCUUGAAGCAGAGGUAGGGCUAGUCUAGCUACCUUCCUAAGAAAUCAGCACCCUUGUCAUCCUCUAGUAAGGAUGAGGCAUGGCCAUUGGAACAUUCCUCAGUUUGCCCAAGGAUUUAAUUGAUUACUGAAGAGGUACUGCAGUGUCUUGGUGUUAGGCUGUUCUGCUCAUCAAACCCGUUGGGACAGGUUUUGAAAGGUAAG
ensembl:lncRNA